ACGAACGCUGGCGGCGUGGAUAAGACAUGCAAGUCGAACGAGAGAAUUGCUAGCUUGCUAAUAAUUCUCUAGUGGCGCACGGGUGAGUAACACGUGAGUAACCUGCCCCCGAGAGCGGGAUAGCCCUGGGAAACUGGGAUUAAUACCGCAUAGUAUCGAAAGAUUAAAGCAGCAAUGCGCUUGGGGAUGGGCUCGCGGCCUAUUAGUUAGUAGGUGAGGUAACGGCUCACCAAGGCGAUGACGGGUAGCCGGUCUGAGAGGAUGUCCGGCCACACUGGAACUGAGACACGGUCCAGACACCUACGGGUGGCAGCAGUCGAGAAUCAUUCACAAUGGGGGAAACCCUGAUGGUGUGACGCCGCGUGGGGGAAUGAAGGUCUUCGGAUUGUAAACCCCUGUCAUGUGGGAGCAAAUUAAAAAGAUAGUACCACAAGAGGAAGAGACGGCUAACUCUGUGCCAGCAGCCGCGGUAAUACAGAGGUCUCAAGCGUUGUUCGGAAUCACUGGGCGUAAAGCGUGCGUAGGCUGUUUCGUAAGUCGUGUGUGAAAGGCGCGGGCUCAACCCGCGGACGGCACAUGAUACUGCGAGACUAGAGUAAUGGAGGGGGAACCGGAAUUCUCGGUGUAGCAGUGAAAUGCGUAGAUAUCGAGAGGAACACUCGUGGCGAAGGCGGGUUCCUGGACAUUAACUGACGCUGAGGCACGAAGGCCAGGGGAGCGAAAGGGAUUAGAUACCCCUGUAGUCCUGGCAGUAAACGGUGCACGCUUGGUGUGCGGGGAAUCGACCCCCUGCGUGCCGGAGCUAACGCGUUAAGCGUGCCGCCUGGGGAGUACGGUCGCAAGAUUAAAACUCAAAGAAAUUGACGGGGACCCGCACAAGCGGUGGAGUAUGUGGCUUAAUUCGAUGCAACGCGAAGAACCUUACCUGGGCUUGACAUGUAAUGAACAACAUGUGAAAGCAUGCGACUCUUCGGAGGCGUUACACAGGUGCUGCAUGGCCGUCGUCAGCUCGUGUCGUGAGAUGUUUGGUUAAGUCCAGCAACGAGCGCAACCCCUGUUGCCAGUUACCAGCACGUGAAGGUGGGGACUCUGGCGAGACUGCCCAGAUCAACUGGGAGGAAGGUGGGGACGACGUCAGGUCAGUAUGGCCCUUAUGCCCAGGGCUGCACACGUACUACAAUGCCCAGUACAGAGGGGGCCGAAGCCGCGAGGCGGAGGAAAUCCUGAAAACUGGGCCCAGUUCGGACUGUAGGCUGCAACCCGCCUACACGAAGCCGGAAUCGCUAGUAAUGGCGCAUCAGCUACGGCGCCGUGAAUACGUUCCCGGGUCUUGUACACACCGCCCGUCACAUCAUGGAAGCCGGUCGCACCCGAAGUAUCUGAAGCCAACCGCAAGGAGGCAGGGUCCUAAGGUGAGACUGGUAACUGGGAUG
rnacentral:rRNA from 1 species